rnacentral:rRNA from 1 species
AUUGAACGCUGGCGGCAGGCCUAACACAUGCAAGUCGAGCGAGCGGCGGACGGGUGAGUAAUGUAUGGGGACUGCCCGAUAGAGGGGGAUAACUACUGGAAACGGUAGCUAAUACCGCAUACUAUCGGAUAACCCAUAUGGGAUUGGCUAGUCGGUGAGGUAAUGGCUCACCUAGGCGACGAGCCCUAGCUGGUCUGAGAGGAUGAUCAGCCCAACUGGGACUGAGACGCGGCCCUGACGCCAACGGAGGCAGCAGUGGGGAAUAUUGCACAAUGGGCACAAGCCGGAUGCAACCAUGCCGCGUGUAUGAAGAAAGCCCUAGGGUUGUAAAGUACGUUCAGUCGGGAGGGGUUACCGACAGAAGAAGCACCGGCUAACUCCGUGCCAGCCGCCGCGGUAAUUC